rnacentral:rRNA from 1 species
AGGGCACACAGGGAAUGCCUAGGCUCUCAGAGGCGAAGAAAGACGUGAUAAGCUGCGAUAAGCUACGAUGAGGGGCAAAUACCUUAUGAUUCGUAGAUUUCUGAAUGGGGAAACCUGAUAUGUUGAAGACAUAUCACCACGCUUGCGUGGGGCAAACGCGCUGAACUGAAACAUCUAAGUAGGCGUAGGAGAAGAAAACAAUAGUGAUUUCCGUAGUAGCGGCGAGCGAAGUGGAAAUAGCCCAAACCAGUGUUGUUUCGGCAACAUUGGGGUUGUAGGACUGGGAUAUUUGUUUGAAUGGUUAGUGGAACAAUUUGGAAAGAUUGGCAAUAUAGGGUGAUAGCCCCGUACACGAAAAUUGUUUAAACGAUACCAGUAUCCUGAGUAGGGCGGGACAUGUGAAAUCCUGUCUGAAUCCACCAGAACCAUCUGGUAAGGCUAAAUACUCCUGAGAGACCGAUAGCGAACGAGUACCGUGAGGGAAAGGUGAAAAGAACCCUGAAUAAGGGAGUGAAAAAGAUCCUGAAACUGUGUGUCUACAAGCGGUCGAAGCCUACGGGCGACGGCGUGCCUUUUGCAUAAUGAUCCUACGAGUUACUCCUCAUUGGCAAGGUUAAGAAUUUAAGGUUCGAAGCCGAAGCGAAAGCAAGUCUGAAUAGGGCGAUUUAGUCAGUGGGGGUAGACGCGAAACCUUGUGAUCUACCCAUGACCAGGUUGAAGUUCCAGUAACAUGGAAUGGAGGACCGAACCAAUAUACGUUGAAAAGUGUUUGGAUGAGUUGUGGGUAGGGGUGAAAGGCCAAUCAAACUGGGAAAUAGCUCGUACUCCCCGAAAUGCAUUUAGGUGCAGCGUUGAGGUAGAGUUUUAUAGAGGUAGAGCUACUGAUUGGACUAGGGGGCUUCACCGCCUACCAAAUCCUGACAAACUCCGAAUGCUAUAAAAUAUACUGAGCAGUGAGGGCAUGGGUGCUAAGGUCCAUGUCCGAGAGGGAAAGAACCCAGACCAUCAGCUAAGGUCCCCAAAUAUAUACUAAGUUGUUUAAACGUUGUGCGAUUGCAUAGACAGCUAGGAUGUUGGCUUGGAAGCAGCCAUUCAUUUAAAGAGUGCGUAACAGCUCACUAGUCGAGCGAUCGUGCGUGGAUAAUAAUCGGGCAUUAAGUGUAUUACCGAAGCUGUGGAUUUAAUAUUUAUAUUAUCUGGUAGGGGAGCAUUCUAUGGGCGUUGAAUGUGGGUGGCGAUGCCCACUGGAGCGCAUAGAAAAGCAAAUGUAGGAAUAAGUAACGAUAAUGCGGGCGAGAAACCCGCACACCAAUAGACUAAGGUUUCCGCAGCUAUGCUAAUCAGCUGCGGGUUAGUCGGGACCUAACGCGAACCCGAAGGGGGUAGUGGAUGGACAAUGGGUUAAUAUUCCCAUACUUGUUAUAACUGCGAUGUGGUGACGGAGUGAUGAACGGACCGCGCACAGACGGAAUUGUGCGUUGAAGGGUGUAGAUAUUGGGACUGUAGGUAAAUCCGCAGACCUAGUCGAACCUGAUAGUACCAAGCGGCUUCGGCCAAUUGGAUAGUGUCCCUAAGGGCUUCCAAGAAAACCCACUAAGCUUCAGGUUAUAACAACUCGUACCUCAAACCGACACAGGUAGUCAAGUAGAGAAUACUAAGGUGCUCGAGUGAUUCAUGGCUAAGGAACUAGGCAAAAUGGUCUCGUAACUUCGGGAGAAGAGACGCCACACUUCGGUGUGGCCGCAGUGAAUAGGCCCAGGCGACUGUUUAUCAAAAACACAUGGCUUUGCAAAAACGAAAGUUGACGUAUAAGGCCUGACACCUGCCCGGUGCUGGAAGGUUAAGAGGAGAUGUUAGAUUUAUCGAAGCAUUGAAUUGAAGCCCCAGUAAACGGCGGCCGUAACUAUAACGGUCCUAAGGUAGCGAAAUUCCUUGUCGGGUAAGUUCCGACCUGCACGAAUGGUGUAACGAUCUGGGCACUGUCUCAGCCAUGAGCUCGGUGAAAUUGUAGUAUCGGUGAAGAUGCCGAUUACCCGCAACGGGACGGAAAGACCCCGUGAACCUUUACUAUAGCUUCACAUUGGUAUUGGGUAAUUCAUGUGUAGGAUAGGUGGGAGACUUUGAUGCUGCGUCGCUAGGCGUGGUUUAGUCGUCCUUGAAAUACCACCCUUGAAUUAUCUGGUGCCUAAUCCCGUCUAACGGGAGACAUUGUGUGGUGGGUAGUUUGACUGGGGUGGUCGCCUCCAAAAGAGUAACGGAGGCUUCU